rnacentral:rRNA from 1 species
AGAGUUUGAUCAUGGCUCAGGAUGAACGCUAGCUACAGGCUUAACACAUGCAAGUCGAGGGGCAGCAUGGUCUUAGCUUGCUAAGGCUGAUGGCGACCGGCGCACGGGUGAGUAACACGUAUCCAACCUGCCGUCUACUCUUGGCCAGCCUUCUGAAAGGAAGAUUAAUCCAGGAUGGGAUCAUGAGUUCACAUGUCCGCAUGAUUAAAGGUAUUUUCCGGUAGACGAUGGGGAUGCGUUCCAUUAGAUAGUAGGCGGGUAACGGCCACCUAGUCAACGAUGGAUAGGGGUUCUGACGAGGAAGGUCCCCACAUUGGAACUGAGACACGGUCCAAACGUCCUACGGGAGGCA